AUUUAGCACUGAGACAAAGCUAAACAUGAAAGUGCUUAAAAUGUAUCUGUUUGCCUUUGUUUCAAUAGGAAUCCAAAACAAAGUUAAUCUGAUCAACAAGGAUCAAUAGAAAAGUUUUAAUGUGAGCUGAACAGGCAGGUGCAGCGGUGAGGCAGGCUGCUGCUGUUACACUGUUACUGCUCCUGGCGAACGGAAUUCUCCAGUAAUCCGCUCCCUGCACACUCCCUGGCCUCCGUUUCACUCAGGUUUCCUCCUCAGUGUCUCUCCCAGGUCGUCGUAAAAUUCUCCCUCCCCUUCUGGACACACUGCACCUUGGAGCGACACAUCACUAGGAGGGAACUCGGAGCCUGCUGUAGUGCUUGUGCGGAUGGGUCAGCGAGAUGCUCCCCACAGCAAUGUCCCCUGA